UACGUAGGCAGCGAGCGUUGUUCGGAGUUACUGGGCGUAAAGCGUGCGUAGGCGGUGUUCUAAGUUUGGUGUGAAAUCUCCCGGCUCAACCGGGAGGGUGCGCCGAAAACUGGGAUGCUGGAGUAUGGGAGAGGUAGGCGGAAUUCCUGGUGUAGCGGUGAAAUGCGUAGAUAUCAGGAGGAACACCAGCGGUGUAGACGGCUUACUGGACCAUCACUGACGCUGAGGCACGAAAGCGUGGGGAGCAAACAGG
rnacentral:rRNA from 1 species